rnacentral:lncRNA from 1 species
ACAGCUUGUCAUAGACACAUAAACCAACGUCUAUAGAGAGAGGUUGAGUCAAGGGGUGGGGAGCUUGAUGAGUGAAGCGAGCCGCGCUAGCCUAUUAGUUUUUCAGUAGCAAGCUACGGUCUAACGACCCCCUAACCUAGGUUGGGGAGAAAACUCCAAAACUAGGGUUCCAAACCUUUCUCUAAAAAUAAUAAUAAGGUAAGCUUUCAAGCCCGUCUUCCGACUCCUUCCAAUCCUCAAGCUCAUCCUCAUGGAAGGAGGAUUCAUUCGAGAAUCGGGAUCUAGAAUUUUGGCUCGAGCCUUUCCUCUCCUGUUCAUUCAUUGUGGGACCUACUGAACCUCGUCAACUCCUUCAAGCGGCUUUCAGCUCCUAGCCCUAUC